rfam:Bombyx mori DNA, contig: Bm_scaf23_contig15744, strain: p50T/Dazao, build 2, whole genome shotgun sequence.
ACAACAUUCGGACCGUCGGUCUACCGAGCAAUAUUACCCGCUCGGUGGAAGAUCUUCUCUCCGCCGU